CCUANGUGAGGCUGCAGUCGAGGAUAUUUAGCAAUGGGGGAAACCCUGACUAUGUGACGCCGCGUGAGGGAUGAAGGUCUUCGGAUCGUAAACCUCUUUCGAUGGGGAAGAAACCCCCGCCUUUAUACGGCGGGAUUGACGGUACCUAGAGAAGAAGCCACGGCCAACUCUGUGCCAGCAGCCGCGGUAAUACAGAGGUGGCGAGCGUUACUCGGAUUUAUUGGGUGUAAAGGGCAGGUAGGCGUCCCUUCAAGUUAGAAGUGAAAUCCUAAGGCUUAACCUUAGAACUGCUUUUAAAACUGAAGGGAUUGAGGUUAGGAGAGGAGAGCGGAAUUCCCGGUGUAAGAGUGAAAUCUGUAGAUAUCGGGAGGAACACCAGUGGCGAAGGCGGCUCUCUGGCCUAACCCUGACGCUGAGCUGCGAAAGCUAGGGGAGCAAACAGGAUUAGAUACCCCUNUANUC
rnacentral:rRNA from 1 species